rnacentral:rRNA from 1 species
AUUGAACGCUGGCGGCAGGCCUAACACAUGCAAGUCGAGCGGAGCGGCGGACGGGUGAGUAAUGCCUAGGAAUCUGCCUGGUAGUGUGGGAUAACGUCCGGAAACGGGCGCUAAUACCGCAUACUAUCAGAUGAUCCUAGGUCGGAUUAGCUAGUGGGUGGGGUAAAUGCCUACCAAGGCGACGAUCCGUAACUGGUCUGAGAGGAUGAUCAGUCAAACUGGAACAGUGACAGGGUCCAGAAUCCGACGGGAGGAAGCAGGGGGGAAUAUUGGACAAUGAGGGAAAGCCUGAUCAAGCCAUGCCGCGUGGGGGAGGAAGGUCUUCGGAUUUUAAAGCAUUUUAAGUUGGGAGGCGUUACCAACAGAAUAAGCAACGGCUAACUUCGUGCCAGCAGCCGCGGUAAUAC